UACAGAGGUGGCAAGCGUUGUUCGGAAUUACUGGGCGUAAAGGGCGCGUAGGCGGCCUGUUAAGUCGAACGUGAAAUCCCCGGGCUCAACCCGGGAACUGCGUCCGAUACUGGCAGGCUUGAAUCCGGGAGAGGGAUGUGGAAUUCCAGGUGUAGCGGUGAAAUGCGUAGAUAUCUGGAGGAACACCGGUGGCGAAGGCGGCAUCCUGGACCGACACUGACGCUGAGGAGCGAAAGCCAGGGGAGCAAACGGG
rnacentral:rRNA from 1 species